UCAUCAAAUUUAAUAUAUCAUAGAGAGCCUCAGGAUGGGGGAACGUCAUCAAAUUUACUUUCCCAUAGAGAGCCUCAUCAUGGUCGAACUAAAAAGAAGCUCUGCAAAUGGAAACAGAUUGUCCUCGGAUGUCUCUUACUGGUAGCGGUCUGUCAUGCAGGUUAUUCCAUUUAUCAAGUGAAUGAUAUGAAGAAAACUGUGGAAAACAAACAAACAGUCAUUGGAAGUGAUGCAAAAAAGCUGCUAUUCAGUUCAGUUCAAAACAUGGACUUUAAUGUCAG